UCAAUUUGCAUACGUGGACGGACACGUGGCACUUGGACACGCUGACACGUGUACUAUUCAAACGGUGUUAGUGACAAAACUAACGGAAAGGACUAACUUGAAACUUAAAAUAAACGUAAGGGACCAAAUUGAUACUUUUUAAACGUAAGGGACCAAAUUGAAACCUAAAAUAAACGUAAGGGACCAAAUAUGUAGUUAAACC
rnacentral:lncRNA from 1 species